UACGUAGGGGGCAAGCGUUGUCCGGAUUUAUUGGGCGUAAAGAGCGUGUAGGCGGUCAGGUAGGUCCGUUGUGAAAACUCGAGGCUCAACCUCGAGACGCCGAUGGAAACCAUCUGACUAGAGUCCGGAAGAGGAGAGUGGAAUUCCUGGUGUAGCGGUGAAAUGCGCAGAUAUCGGGAGGAACACCGGUGGCGAAGGCGGUUCUCUGGGCCUGACCUGACGCUGAGGAGCGAAAGCGUGGGGAGCGAACAGG
rnacentral:rRNA from 1 species